GGCCCUCCUCACUAAUGCUCUGUCGUCAUCCUGAUUUGCAGCGACUCUGAGGACCCCGGAAAGUGAGAGGCAAAAUGGAGCUGUGUGUGGUCCAGGUACCUUCCUCAGCUCUGUUGGAGGUGUCCUCUCUCCUGAGCCUGGUAAGCAGAGUGCCCUGAAGAAAGCGCUGAGAGACAGAUGAUAACAAAGGCUCAAGAAGAUUAAGGAAUCGGCAGAUGUGGGAUGUGCAAUUUCCCUAUGGCUCGGUAGAUGAUCAAGUUAAACAGGC
rnacentral:lncRNA from 1 species